rnacentral:lncRNA from 1 species
CUUUAAGAUCACUCCUGCAAAGGAUUAUGAUUUGAACACUGCAUUUCUCUCAAAUCUCUGUCGACUAAGUAGGGUGAAGAGGAGCAGAAGGAUAGAAGAAGGAAUCUCCCCAGCUUUCUCAAACCUUCCAAGUGGGCCUUCACAGUAAGGUUUCAUUUAAAGUAUUGUGAAUUUACAGCUGCCAUAUUGAAAUAUGUGGAAGCUCUUACCCAGAGAGGAUGACUUGCCCAAGUGC